rnacentral:rRNA from 1 species
UAAUACGUAGGUGGCGAGCGUUGUCCGGAAUUACUGGGCGUAAAGGGCGUGUAGGCGGGAAUUUAAGUCAGAUGUGAAAACCCCGGGCUUAACUUGGGGACUGCAUUUGAUACUGGAUUUCUUGAGGACAGGAGAGGAAAGCGGAAUUCCUAGUGUAGCGGUGAAAUGCGUAGAUAUUAGGAGGAACACCAGUGGCGAAGGCGGCUUUCUGGACUGUAACUGACGCUGAGGCGCGAAAGCGUGGGGAGCGAACGGG